rnacentral:sRNA from 1 species
UAAGCAGGGGUCGGUCCCCUGGGCUGUUU